UUCUACCCAAUCUCUAAAUCAGAUGCGAAGAGGAGAACGAAGAAGUGCAGUGGAGAAAGAGGCGAGAAUCAGAGGAGCAAGAGGCCGUGGGCAAGAAAAAAUUACAGUGAAGAUAAAGAUGAAGAUGAGUCGAGGAAAUGGAAUAAGCUGGAGUAAAAACGCUACUGGGAGCAGCGUGUUGAAAAUUAGCUUAUUGGCCAUAUCAGCUAUCCCAACAAGCUCUUUUACCAAACACUAAUUUUGGCUUAUUGACCAAGUCAAUCAGCCAAAAUUGGUCAAACCAGCUAGAAAUUGGCUAAUAAGCUGGUAACCAAACACCCCCAAAAUCUUCACCUUCUACGACGACAAAUUUUACUAUGGACCACGGUCCAUAUAGUGAUGUGGUUCAUAAAAUAAGUAUUAUUUUAAUUAUAUAUUUUUUUAAUUUAA